rnacentral:rRNA from 1 species
AACACAUGCAAGUCGAGCGGUAACAGAAAUUAGCUUGCUAAUUUGCUGACGAGCGGCGGACGGGUGAGUAAUGCCUGGGAAUAUGCCUUAGUGUGGGGGAUAACUAUUGGAAACGAUAGCUAAUACCGCAUAAUGUCUUCGGACCAAAGAGGGGGACCUUCGGGCCUCUCGCGCUAAGAUUAGCCCAGGUGAGAUUAGCUAGUUGGUGAGGUAAGAGCUCACCAAGGCGACGAUCUCUAGCUGGUCUGAGAGGAUGAUCAGCCACACUGGAACUGAGACACGGUCCAGACUCCUACGGGAGGCAGCAGUGGGGAAUAUUGCACAAUGGGCGAAAGCCUGAUGCAGCCAUGCCGCGUGUAUGAAGAAGGCCUUCGGGUUGUAAAGUACUUUCAGUCGUGAGGAAGGGUGUGUAGUUAAUAGCUGCACAUCUUGACGUUAGCGACAGAAGAAGCACCGGCUAACUCCGUGCCAGCAGCCGCGGUAAUACGGAGGGUGCGAGCGUUAAUCGGAAUUACUGGGCGUAAAGCGCAUGCAGGUGGUUCAUUAAGUCAGAUGUGAAAGCCCGGGGCUCAACCUCGGAACCGUAUUUGAAACUGGUGAACUAGAGUGCUGUAGAGGGGGGUAGAAUUUCAGUUGUAGCGGUGAAAUGCGUAGAGAUCUGAAGGAAUACCAGUGGCCGAAGCGCCCCUGGACAGACACUGACACUCAGAUG